rnacentral:rRNA from 1 species
GACAGAGGGGGCAAGCGUUGCUCGGAAUUACUGGGCGUAAAGGGCGCGUAGGCGGGAUGGCAAGUCGGUCGUGAAAUCCCUCGGCUCAACCGAGGAACGUCGAUCGAUACUGCUGUUCUUGAGGAUUGCAGAGGAGACUGGAAUUCCCGGUGUAGCGGUGAAAUGUGUAGAGAUCGGGGAGGAACACCGGUGGCGAAGGCGGGUCUCUGGGCUGUAACUGACGCUGAGGAGCGAAAGCAUGGGGAGCGAACAGG